rnacentral:lncRNA from 1 species
CUUUUCCGUCUCAGGAAAACAGCGUGCUUGGUGGGUUUGAGAGAACUUCUGUUUUUCUGUCCUCCAUGUUUGAGGCGGAGAAAGAACAUUUUGUUCUUGAGGUGAUGAUGGAUUGAAUGUAAAGUUACGCACAAAGUGGGAUGUUUAGUUGGAACUGUUCCCUCAGGAAAUACGAUUUUUUGGGCGUGGGGGACAGGGUUUCGCUCUGUCGCCUAGGCCUGAGUGCAGUGGCGCAAUAACGGCUCACUGCAGUCUGGAACUCCAAGGGAUCUUCCCACCUCAGCCUCCGAGUAGCUGGAACUACAGGCGCGCGCGACCAUGCUUGGCUUAUUUUUAUUUUGUAGAGAGGAGGUCUCACCAUGUUGCCCAGCCUAGUCUGGAACUCCUGGGUUCAAGCGAUCCUCCAUCUCGGCCUCCCAAAGUGCCAGGAUUACAGGCAACCGCACCGAGCCAGGAAGUGAUUAAUUUUUUUUUAAGUCACUUCACAUUCCAGAAACAUUAAUCUCGACAACUCUAGGUUGCUGUAAGCAGCUUGUGACGGUGGCCCCCAGACUGCGUCCCGCUUUAGACUGCACCCAGUGAAUCUCCACUCUAACCACCGCGGAGUGACCGGGUGUAUUCUUCGCCUUGUAUAGGGCACAUUGGUUCAGUCUUGAAAGUAGAGAAGGGGAAGCCAGGGUAGUAAGGUGUGUUCUCAGCCCUGAACCCUGUCCAACUCCAGUCCUGCAUGAAGUCUGUCCUCUUCCCCCCAUCCGCAUUUGUGACAACAGAGCUUCUUUUUAUUUUAUACUUCCAUCUAAGAAAAUUAGUCAACUUCUAGUCACAUACCACAUUUCCCCAUUAAGAGGCUUUACUGAAAAGGUGGUAAUUUUUUUUUAAAGUGACUUUUGCAGUCCCUUCUAAAUCCUGCAUGUACUAAAUUUUGUACACACUGAAUAAUCAAAAUCCAAAAUAUAAAUUUAAAACAUCCACGUGAAUGCAAAUAAGGAAAAACAGUUGGAGGUAGGGGGAAAGGAAGCAAACUUACCUGGAUAAAAUGAAGUUUCUUUCUUGUACACCAUAAUGAGAAAAUGGUUGGACAUGGAUUUGCACUACUUUUUUGGGAAAAACCCACCUUAAAACAGGUUAAAUGGCAUGUAUGAAAUAUACUUUGAUAGAGGAAGUUUGAAGGGAUGGUCAUUCAGAUUUUAAAGCACCUGAAAUUGAGGUAUAGGACGUUUCUGUGCCUGAUGAAGAUGGCCGUGGCUCACACAUUUAGACAAAAUAGGAACCCUGAAGUAUUAACAGCAGGCACUCAGAAAUGCACACUUUUUUUAAAUUAGCCACUUCUCAUGUAAGAAGGAAGUAGUAUGUAGUAUGUCCCAAUGUGAAUGGCCACAGGAAUUUACAUAAGAUGACUAGUAAUUUUCCAAGCAAAAUUGGAUUAAACAGUUUGUGGAUAAGAAAGUGUGAUGAGAAAGCCUAGAGGCCAAGGGACAGUACCUCUGUCCCUUAAAUGGCAACAUGCUGUAACCGCCCAAGGGGUUCACCUUGCGUGCUGCCUAGACAGAGCUGAUUGAUCAAUACAAGUAAAUUGCAAUGGAGAAAGAGUAAUUGACGCAGAGCCGGCUGUGCGGGAGACUAGUGUUUUAUUAUAACUCAAAUCAGUCUUCCCUGAGCUUUUGGGGAUCAGAGUUUUUGAGAAUAAUUUGGUGCGGGGAACCCAGUGAACUAGAGUGCUGAUUGGUCAGGGAUGAAAUCAUAGGGAGUAGAAGCUGUCUUCUUGCGCUGAGUGUUUCUGGUUUGGGGAGUCACAAAAUCAGAUGAGCCAGUUUAUUGAUCUGGGUGGUGCCAGCUGAUCCCCUAAGUGCUGGGUCUGAAAAAUAAGCACUGAUCUUGGGAGCAGUUUAAGGAGGGGCAGAAUCUUGUAGCCUCCAGCUGCAUGACUCCUAAACCAUAAUUUCUAAUAUUGUGGCUAAUGUUCUACAAAGGCAAUCCAGUCUCUAGGCAAGAAGGAGGUCUGCUUUAGGUAAGGGCUAUUACCGUCGUUGUUCGAACUAUAAACUACAAACUAAGUUUCUCCGAAAGUUAGUUCAACCUACACUCAGGAAUGAACAAGGACAGCUUGGAGGUUAGAAGCAAGAUGGAGUCAGUUAAUUUAUAUUUCUUUCACUGUCCCAGUCAUAAUUUUGCAAAGGCAGUUUCAGUGCUGACCAGGGUUGGCCCUCCUUUAAGUUUUUGUCCGCUCGGAGGGGAGACCAUAAUGAGAAAAUGGUUGGACAUGGAUUUGCAGUUCACAGCCACCUGGGAUAAUCUGUCCCAUCCUAGGCCUAUACCUCAUGGGAACACAUGCGGACCCAUGUAGGGUCCAAAAAAACGGACAUGAAAGGAAGAGACAGAAAGCUUCACACUGUGUGCGAGUUGCUACCAAGGCAUCUGGGCAUGCUUAGCCUGGAGGAAUAUUCCCAGGACCGUGAAAAGUUGUAGCAGUACUUUUGGAGAAAGUAGAAAAACGAUGUUUCCUCAAGGCCAAGGGUUCUCAAGCAGGAAAAGUUUUGCCCCCCUUGGGACAAUUGGCAAUGUCUGGAGACAUUUAUAAAUGUCACAAUUAGGGAGGGUACCAGUGGCAUCUUGUGGGUAGAGGACAGAUAUACUACUAAACGUCAUAGUGUAAUGGUGGGGUGGCCAGCCCCCCCAACAUUACAAAGGAUUAACUAUUUUAAAAUAUCAGCAGUGCCAUGGUUGAGAAAUUCUACUCUUGGCAGAUAUAGCCCUGAAACAGGAUUUCAGCCCCCUCUCAGUCUCUUAGCUGGGUGCCCUUAUGUAAGGCACAAAGUAAAAGCACUACUCCCCUGUAUAGGCUACAGGAGGGAGUCAGUGAGGAAGUUACCCAGGUUUUGUGACAGGAGGACCCUUCAGUGAAAAAGGCUGCCAAGGAAAUUGCUAUGUGAUGGAGACAAUAUACAAACCCAUAAUCAUAUUACAAAUUGUGAUAAGUGUUAUGAGGAUAUAUCAGUUCAGAUCACCCAGGAAGCUGAUGCCAAAUUGGAAUUAGGAUUAUUGGGAAAUAGGUCCUGUGAAAGACUAAGGGGGAGGAAGAAGAACUGGACCUGGUAAAUCUUCAGAUCUUGAUACAGAUCUGACAGGAAAGACUGAUGAAAGUGGAAUUGGGUAGGUGCAGUCUAAGAAUGCAGUAGAGAUUUGACAAAGUCCUGGCUGACUCAAUAGGAAGAUUUGGGGUUGCCCAUCAGAGAAGUCCUGUAGUGGGCAGGCAUGGCCAGGCCCUGGUAUCUGCCAGACUGGAGGCUGCCUGGGAAGAACAUGGCCUUGGCACAAAGGCUUUAACAGAUCUCACAGGCUUUGCAGCCAGAAGCUGUCAGCUAACUGCACUCCUCACAGCUCAAUGACUUUUUUUUUUUUUUUAAGAAAAGAUCAGAAUUGCAUGUUUCCAUACCUCCCACAGAAGAAUAAUUAAAAGAGUGUAGCAGCAGG